rnacentral:rRNA from 1 species
GACGUAGGGCGCGAGCGUUGUCCGGAUUUAUUGGGCGUAAAGAGCUCGUAGGCGCUUGUCGCGUCGACUGUGAAAUCCCGCGGCUCAACUGCGGGUCUGCAGUCGAUACGGGCAGGCUAGAGUUCGGUAGGGGAGACUGGAAUUCCUGGUGUAGCGGUGAAAUGCGCAGAUAUCAGGAGGAACACCGGUGGCGAAGGCGGGUCUCUGGGCCGAUACUGACGCUGAGGAGCGAAAGCGUGGGGAGCGAACAGG